AGGAAAGGAUCUUUCGCUAAAUACGUACACGUCCUGUGUACAACGCGAAAGUCACCACAUCCUGUGGA
rnacentral:sRNA from 1 species